rnacentral:rRNA from 1 species
AUUGAACGCUGGCGGCAUGCUUUACACAUGCAAGUCGAACGGCAGCGCGGGCUUCGGCCUGGCGGCGAGUGGCGAACGGGUGAGUAAUACAUCGGAACGUGCCCAGUAGUGGGGGAUAGCUCGGCGAAAGCCGGAUUAAUACCGCAUACGACCUGAGGGUGAAAGCGGGGGAUCUUCGGACCUCGCGCUAUUGGAGCGGCCGCUGGCAGAUUAGCUAGUUGGUGGGGUAAAGGCCUACCAAGGCGACGAUCUGUAGCUGGUCUGAGAGGACGACCAGCCACACUGGGACUGAGACACGGCCCAGACUCCUACGGGAGGCAGCAGUGGGGAAUUUUGGACAAUGGGCGAAAGCCUGAUCCAGCAAUGCCGCGUGUGUGAUGAAGGCCUUCGGGUUGUAAAGCACUUUUGGCGGGAACGAAAAGGACUGUGCCAAUACCACGGUUCGAUGACGGUACCCGCAGAAUAAGCACCGGCUAACUACGUG